AGUGAACGCUGGCGGUAUGCCUAACACAUGCAAGUCGAACGGCAGCACAGUAAGAGCUUGCUCUUACGGGUGGCGAGUGGCGGACGGGUGAGGAAUACAUCGGAAUCUACUUUUUCGUGGGGGAUAACGUAGGGAAACUUACGCUACUACCGCAUACGACCUACGGGUGAAAGCAGGGGAUCUUCGGACCUUGCGCGAUUGAAUGAGCCGAUGUCGGAUUAGCUAGUUGGCGGGGUAAAGGCCCACCAAGGCGACGAUCCGUAGCUGGUCUGAGAGGAUGAUCAGCCACACUGGAACUGAGACACGGUCCAGACUCCUACGGGAGGCAGCAGUGGGGAAUAUUGGACAAUGGGCGCAAGCCUGAUCCAGCCAUACCGCGUGGGUGAAGAAGGCCUUCGGGUUGUAAAGCCCUUUUGUUGGGAAAGAAAAGCAGCAGGUUAAUACCCCGCUGUUCUGACGGUACCCAAAGAAUAAGCACCGGCUAACUUCGUG
rnacentral:rRNA from 1 species